CCUGUGGCGAGGCUUUCCGAGCCCUUCUAUUUCACAUUAGCAGCACCGGUUAGCGCGGGAGGAGAGGCAGAACAGGCAGAACAGGCCACAGGCACCCAUCCCUGCAGGAACUGCCGAGGGGAGGGAUGCAAGGCUGAGCAUACACGCCUGGCUGUACAAGCUGCCUGCGGCACCCGGGGCAAGAGAGAUCGUGAGGACUUACAAACUAGGUUGUGCAGGUAGACGUGUGGGGUAGCCAGGCACCAGCACAGCCAAAAAGAAUCAGUACAAUCGCCUCCAUGCUGGAAGUCCCCGGCUGGUCCCUCUGGGCCCUUCUGAUUGCAGUGGAAGUGAGAAGCCAAGGAAUUGGACUAGUUGGCCUAACUUCCUUUUUUCCUCCCUAAGUUUGCCCACAAUUUAGUCACAGUGUAUAAACAUUGAUGAGCAAGAUGAGAGAAGACUAAUUAAUUCCAACUCUAAACUUAUUCUCAAUCAAAAGAAAUCAGUGCAGAAAAGGCCGGUGAGAUUUUAUGUGCAAGAAUCAGCAGUGAAAUAAGAUCUGUACAUAUGUCAGGAGAUUGAAGUCAUCCCUUCCUAGAGCUCAGACACACCAGUGCCUAUUUUAAAACAAGUUAAAUAAAAUAGAAAACACAACUGAGAUUCUUGGAUAUUCUCUUGUGUCUUUGAUAAAAGUGUGUAGCUGGUGUAGUACUUCCCAGAUUUAAGGAGGAGGUCUAUAGUUGUAAUUAUUCUGAUUUGUCUUCAUUCUAGAAACUCUACCCUGGGAAGUCUGUAGGUGGAGCACAUGAAAGGGCUCAAGUAUUCAAGAGAAAUUUAAUCUGGCACUAAACCAUGGACUAUGUGGUUUUAAUUACUUAAAUACAUUAAUAAUUUUAUGGCUGUAUGAUUUUAAAUGGUUAUUCUUUUAUAGGUGCCUUCGAGCAUUAUUUUCUGACCCAGCUUCUCAUUAACAACAUCUUUUAAAACGAAGGAUUCUAAUAUCACAGAUCUCACCGGGAUGACACCAUGUGUUCACAUCCAUAUUCUUCUACCCAUUUACCUUCAUGAAAGCACGUGUGCUGUUUGUUACACAGUAAACUAACAACAUCUCCACAGUUAUUCUGUGCUCUGAAGCAGUUUUCUUUGUCUAAACCAGUCAGUGUUGGAGUUCCAGGAGUUGCAGCUACACAUAUAUAAGCACUGCAGCACAAAUCAGGAAUCUAGGGGGAAAAAAAAUACUGUAUCAACCCCAGUCCCUUCAAAGCUUCAGUUUGUCUUCAUGCUCACAUGGAGAUCAAGUUUUAAAAGCAGGGAUGAACUGGGUGAAUAUACGAGCGUGGCAGCAGAGUAUCGGUUCACCUGAGUUCCACCAUUCUUGUCAGUGGUGCGGUUUGUGCUAUCUGCUGCUCUGGCUGCAUCACUGUUUGAAGCCCAUGUUCUCUCUUUUCAAUAACUAACAUCACAUCUAUGGAACCGCAACUGUAAAGUGAUCUUGGCAGCAGUCCCGAGAGUCUCUCGUAAUCUCCACGCUAUGCAGAGGUGUUAUCUAAACAGAAAUGACUCUUAACAAGGAAUCAAUGGAGUCAGGUUUUUUGUUGUAUUUAUUUUGUUUUCCCUUAUGUGAUAGACAUGAGGUCAUCGUUUCUGCAUACUAGAGUCAAUUUUUACUUUAUUUUUACCAGAAUAAAAUAACUUUAUGG